rnacentral:rRNA from 1 species
UACGAAGGGGGCUAGCGUUGUUCGGAUUUACUGGGCGUAAAGGGCGCGUAGGCGGAUUUUUAAGUCAGGGGUGAAAUCCCAAGGCUCAACCUUGGAACUGCCUUUGAUACUGGGGAUCUUGAGUCCGGGAGAGGUGAGUGGAACUGCGAGUGUAGAGGUGAAAUUCGUAGAUAUUCGCAAGAACACCAGUGGCGAAGGCGGCUCACUGGGCCGUAACUGACGCUGAGGAGCGAAAGCGUGGGGAGCGAACAGG